UAACGCCAUCGGGGACGGGGAAAUAAUCGGGUUUUUAUGAAGCGGUCUGGCACCGUCCCUGCACAUGCGCACUACCUUUGUUUAGUUUCCAAUCUGAUCAGCUGUAGCAAUGCACAAGCUCAAAUCCUCCCAGAAAGAAAAGGUCAAGCAGUUUAUUUCCUUCACCCAAACGGGCGAGAAAACCGCAAUAUACUGUCUUGCUCAAAAUGACUGGAAACUCGAACUCGCCUCAGACAACUUCUUCCAAAAUCCCGAUUUAUACUACAGAGAACAGAGGCCGUCAGUCGACAAGAAAAAGCUAGAACACCUAUAUAA